rnacentral:rRNA from 1 species
AUUGAACGCUGGCGGAAUGCUUUACACAUGCAAGUCGAACGGCAGCACGGACUUCGGUCUGGUGGCGAGUGGCGAACGGGUGAGUAAUAUAUCGGAACGUGCCCAGUCGUGGGGGAUAACGUAGUGAAAAUUACGCUAAUACCGCAUACGAUCUAAGGAUGAAAGCGGGGGAUCGCAAGACCUCGCGCGAUUGGAGCGGCCGAUAUCAGAUUAGGUAGUUGGUGAGGUAAAGGCUCACCAAGCCGACGAUCUGUAGCUGGUCUGAGAGGACGACCAGCCACACUGGAACUGAGACACGGUCCAGACUCCUACGGGAGGCAGCAGUGGGGAAUUUUGGACAAUGGGCGCAAGCCUGAUCCAGCAAUGCCGCGUGCAGGAAGAAGGCCUUCGGGUUGUAAACUGCUUUGUACGG